rnacentral:misc_RNA from 1 species
GAACGCACCUUGCGCCCUUUGGCUAUUCCGAAGGGCAUGCCUGUUUGAGUAUCAUGAACACCUCACCUCUCAUGGUUUGCCGUGAUGAGCUUGGACUUUGGGGGUCUUGCUGGCCUAUGGUCGGCUCCUCUCAAAUGAAUCAGCUUGCCAGUGUUUGGUGGCAUCGCGGGUGUGAUAACUAUCUACACUUGUGGUUUUCCACCAGAUAACCUUCAGUGAUGAAGGUUCGCUGGAGCUCACAAAUGUCUCUCCUCGGCGAGGACAGCUUUCUGAACGUUUGAUCUCAAAUCAGGUAGGACUACCCGCUGAACUUAAG